UUUGAGCCAGGGUGUACCAGGUUUCACCCUGGAAAUCUGUUUUCGGUGCCCAGUCUCAGACCCAAAAAAUGUGUUGUCAUAACAAUAUGUUUUCAUUGAUAUCUCCUGCUAUUUCAUAGAUCCUGCUACAACUCCUCUCUGAGAAAGGGUUUAUUACUGGGUGAUGGGCUCACUGAUGGGCUCAUCUCUUACUUACAAUAUAAGCAACAAAUGCAACCAAUGUUGUUAUGGUUGAGCCUUCUGGCUCCGGUACUGGGAGACGGGGUCGUAAGACUCCUCGAGAGUCAGACUCUUUUGAGGAGCGAGAAAGGAAACGGCUCCGGGACUUAUUUGCAGAACCAACAGAUGAAGACUCAUUUGAGGGUUUUACCGAGGGAAUGGAGGAAGAAAUGGUUAGUUCAGAGGAGGAUGACAUGGAAUGGACUCGUGUGAGGGAGGAUUUGGGUGCCACCGGCAAUGUUAGCAAUGGAGGCGAUUGGCGGGUUGCAGGAUCAGACCCAUGGAUGGGUUGGAGGGAUGGAGCGGGAUCCACAGCUGGGGAUGCUGUGGGGCGUAGUCAAAGGUGUUUUAGCUCUGAUGAGGAUGAUGAUGACGAGGCACCUGGAAUUAGGAUAGCAGCUGAUAGCGAUGAGGAGUUAUGAACUGGGAUAAAAUGGGGUUUAGGAUCAAUGGCUAAUUGCGUUGGGCAAGGUAAUCUGGACGAACGCUUGGGCUCUUGUUGGGGAACUUCCUGAAGACGGGUGUGAUUCGUUGCUGGAUACCUUGGACCUCCGUCGUCUUUUUGACGGACAUUAAUUACCUACUCUGGAUUGACGCUGGACUGACUGACUGAAUAUGACCUUGGACUAUCCCUUCUGUGGCUGUCGGUGAACUCGUGGAACUCUAGACGCCUGCACUUGGCUUUCGACCUCGGACCGGACUGGGACCCCGCUGACCGCCGUGAUCCUGAUUGAUGUGCCUGGACCCGGAUUUCGCUCGUUGCACGGAGGAGUAACAGCCUGAGUUACUCAUCUGUAGCUUUUGGGUAGCAGAGAAGAAUCUGCUGCCAGUUUUUUGUGUUCAUUUUGACCUUUGUUACUAACUUUUGUUUGUUUGAAUUGCCAGGCUGAAGUAAGCACUUUUGAGUUAGUUCGGAUUAAACUCCUGUUUAAUCCGGUUUAUUCUUUCGAACCGUUUUAAUUCAAACGGAGCUGUUUUUGUUACUUUUUCACUGAAGACAAGUGUUUGCCUAGUCCUUUGUUUUCUACGGGCACUUUUCAGUUCUGUAACUUCAAUAAACUGUGUUGUACUCUA